UACGUAGGCGGUUUGUUAAGUUGGAUGUGAAAGCCCUGGGCUCAACCUGGGAACUGCAUUCAAAACUGGCAGACUUGAGUUUGGCAGAGGCUAGUGGAAUUCCAGGUGUAGCGGUGAAAUGCGUAGAGAUCUGGAGGAACAUCAGUGGCGAAGGCGACUGGCUGGGCUAAAACUGACGCUGAAGUACGAAAGCGUGGGGAGCAAACA
rnacentral:rRNA from 1 species